UAUAUAGCGCUCAUUUUCAGAGCUCAAUGGCGCUUUACAAUGUUUGUAAUGACUAAAGCCGACUGGCAUUUUGAAUAUUGGUGUAUAGGAUUGUUGCAAACUUUAUUCAGUUAAGUUAUUAUUCAGUAUGUAUUUUCAGUUUUCGUUAUUUUGUGCAGGUGGGUAUUGUUUCUGUAAGUCAUUAUUAUGUCAUUUUGAUUGAAAGGACAUAAUAAAGAGGGUCAUGCAAGACUCCUGUUGACACACCUCGAAGUGGUUUUUUGACACAUGAUAAAAUUAUUUUAAAUUUUGUCUUUGCUUUAUAUUAUUUGAGUAUGAGUCAUGUAGUAGUUGUUUGCCAAAGUACCACAGGGACAUUUGGAUAAAAAUAUGUGAAAAGUGAAAUGAACAUGUCAUUGGAUGGACAUAUUAAGGCCAUGGAACUUGAUUCCAUAGGUGGGUUGACCCACCUAGCCGUGGUCAAAAACUAGCCUGCAGUUAUGCGCAAUUUUAUCAGCUCCACCAAUCCUUUGGAGUGAACUUCUUCAAGUGGAUGUAUAGUUUAAAAUUUCAGUGGAGUUCACCCCAACCCUUGCAGGCAAUAGCUUGGCAUUUGCUCAUGUCUUUAUUCUAGAGGUGAGCCAUUUAAAAUUUAAUUACCAACAAGGUGUGGGCAGUUGCCUACCUCUGGGACAACCCCAGAACAUUUGGCAGCCUUGUGGAUUUGUGACUUGGCACCCAUGGCCACCCUGUUAAUACGGCAAAAUUUGCAUGGCCAGUGGGUUACUGUUUUAUAAACAGCAUUUCACUGUACCCAAAAUAGUCACCACAAGAUUUCUAACCUGAAAAAUGCUCAUGGUAGCUCCCAGAUUUCAAAUCCCAAAUUUGUCUAUGUACCUCCCGGUCAUCCUUUAGUUACAACACAUUCAUCUGCUGCUGUUCAUGUAUAUCAUGUUCAGGGCUGAGCAUGCAUUAUUGUUUAAUUUAUAGAUGCACAGCUGGAAAUUCAUAGAGCAUGUACAUGUCCCAGAUGUUGUGUUGCCAGUGCAAUCACUGCCCCUUCUCAGAGGAGAAAAGAGCUCAUGACAAGUGGUAAUGUCCUUUGUGACCUGAUGCCAAGAUACACAAAAUUGCAUUCAGUUAAGUAUUUGUCCAACUUCAUCCUGUAUUUCACAAAAAGCUACAUAACUGCAACUUUUACAUGUACAUUUUUGUGAAGUUAUCGAACCCAGAAUGGAUAUGGUCUGGUCCUGUGACUAUUUGUAUACUGACUGAGAAAAAAUAUCAUGAUUCCUUUUUAUGUGACAGAGACUAAUUUUAAUUAUAUAUUUCUGUAAAAUUGUAAAUAUGCGAGUCAUAAUAAUCAAGUUUGUUGUAAAAGUUUGAUUGAUUGUUUACUAGUUAAAGUCAAUCAAUAAAUUAGGGGUUAUUGAAAAUUUGAUUUAUCCAUCAAUAAAAGACAAUUCUUUAAAAAAGUUAAUAAGGGAUGUACCAAAUUAAUAUGGAUAUGGUCAGUUUCACAAAAACCUUUUCCAGAGUUUCUUGAUCUAUAUAUAGUGCCACAUAAAAUUGAUCUGCGCAGGAGAUGGGUGGAAGAACUGACCCACUAAGGAACUGGUUCCACUGAAAAAUGUUUUCCCGAGUUUCUUGAUCUGUGAAGCAUAAACUGGUCCCACAUUCCAAAAUGCCAGCACAGUUUAAAAAAGAAACACUUAACAUUUAGGAACAAUUGGACUGUCUGCAUACCCUGAAUGGAUCUCGAGCUUUGUACAGGAGAUGGGUGUAAGAACUGGCCCACAAGGGAGCUGGUUCCACCAAAAAUCUCUUCCUGAGUUUCUUGAUCUGUGAAGCAAAAACUGGUCCCACAUUCCAAAUUGCUGGCACAAGAUUAAAAAGCAAAACUUGUUUAGGAACAAUUGGACUGCCUGCAUGUGAUGAACGGAUCUUGAGCUUUGUACAGGAGAUUGGUGUAAGAACUGGCCCACAGGGAGCUGGGUCCACCAAAAAUCUCUUCCUGAGUUUCUUGAUCUUUGAAGCAUAGACUGGUCCCUCAUCCAAAUUGCCAGCACAAGAAAA